GGAGGGAUCAUCAAAGAAUAACACAUUCUAAAACUCCAAGUGUUGGAGGGGAAGAAGGGGGGAAAAGAGAAAAGGGGGGUCAUCUGUCCAUAUCUGUGGUAGUUGGCGUUUCUUCUUUUCUUCUUCUUCUUCUUCUCUUCCUCUGAUGCUUCAAACAAACGAUCACAACUAAACGCUAACAGCAAGGGGGGAAAAAGAAAAAAGGCAGAGCAAUCUGUCUUUCUUUCAACAAAUGGUUGCCUGAUAAUCUGAUGAUUGGAAUUGGAGAAAUAAUACAUACAACUUUCAACAACGGAUCUCUUGGCUCUCACAUCGAUGAAGAACAUAGCAAAGUGUGAAAAUUAAUGUGAAUUGCAGAAUUCAGUGAAUCAUUGAGUUUUUGAACGCAUCUUGCACUCUUUGGUAUUCCAAGGAGUAUGCCUGGUUGAGCAAUGUGAAUAUAUCAUCAAUCCUGUAUGCUGAUACAGAGGGAUUGGAAUUGAGUGCUUUACUUUGUCAUUAAAGACAAGGUUCACUUGAAAUGAAGAGAAUAUGGUGACAGGGCUUGGUUGGCCAAGAGAAAAAGACAAGCAAACUUGGAAAAGAAGGGGAUUAGCUUGCUAUAACAACAAUGACUUGAUGAAGGGAAAAACGGCAGUGGUAUUAAGUCUUGUUUAGAGCUUCUCUCUUUGCUGUCUUGGAACCUUGGCCGCUAUAACCAACAAUCUGCGUCCAUCUUUCACAACUAGGAACAUUGUGGGAAAGAGGGAUCCCCCCUUUUUCCCAUCAUUACCAUCAUUCUCAACUCAGGCAAGACUACCCGCUGAAUUUAAGCAUAUAAAUAAGCGGAGGAAAAGAAACUAACAAGGAUUCCCUUAGUAACUGCGAGUGAAGCGGGAAAAGCUCAAUUUUGAAAUCUACCGGGAGUAACAUUCCUGGUCGAAUUGUAGUUUCAAGAAAGAGUGGCUCAGGAAAGCUGGUUGGGUGCAAGUUCCUUGGAACAGGACAUCAGAGAGGGUUACAAUCCCGUCUACCGUCCUUCCGCUUUUCUACCAAGCCCUCUUUUCGAAGAGUCGAGUUGUUUGGGAUUGCAGCUCAAAAUGGGUGGUAAAUUUCAUCUAAAGCUAAAUAUGGGUGAGAGACCGAUAGCGAACAAGUACCGUGAGGGAAAGAUGAAAAGCACUCUGAAGAGAGAGUGAAAAGUACGUGAAAUUGUUGAAAGGGAAACGCUUGAAACCAGUCAAGGUUGGCUAGAUUUCAGGAAACCGUGCUGUGCUGGGCAGGGCUAGUGUAGGGUAUUGGCUCCUUGCGGGUCGACUCUGGGCUGGUUUUGCGCUCAGGCACGCUUUCUGUACGUUUCUAGCCAACGAGUCAGCAUCAGUUUGACUGCUUGGGAGAAAGGUAACAGGAUUUGGUUAAGCUUUCCGGGAGACUUGUUCUUCUGAAGGCUUGAGCCUGCUUAUCACGAUACCAAGUGUUGGACUGAGGACUGCAGUAUAUACAAGGCAUUGACCUGGAACAGGCAAUCCUGUGGUGGCGUCGCCAAUAAACAGCUUGCUGAUUGUUGGAUACGUUUUUUUCACCCGGGACUUGUCAAAUCCAGGCUGGUCUUGACUUUGGAUGUUGACGAAAUGGUUUUAAACGACCCGUCUUGAAACACGGACCAAGGAGUCUAACAUGGAUGCAAGUAUUUGGGUGAUUGGAAACCCAUAUGCGCAAUGAAAGUGAAAUUUUGAUAGGUAGGACGCUGUGGGGGCUUUUUGCUUCCUUGGCAGCACUAUCGACCGAUCUUAACUAGCUUCGGCUUGCUAGAUUUGAGUAAGAGCAUGCAUGUUGGGACCCGAAAGAUGGUGAACUAUGCCUGAAUAGGGUGAAGUCAGACGAAAGUCUGAUGGAAGCUCGUAGCGAUUCUGACGUGCAAAUCGAUCGUCAAAUUUGGGUAUAGGGGCGAAAGACUAAUCGAACCAUCUAGUAGCUGGUUCCUGC
rnacentral:misc_RNA from 1 species